AUGCAGUGGGUGUGGGGCCUAUCGUGGGCGUGUCAGACAUGAUCUAAUCUAAAUGGCCUUAAAAAGAACAUUCUGGCACCUGGGUGGAGAACAGAAACAGGGGCAAGAGGAGAAGGAGGGCAACCGAGUAGGAGGGCCUAAAACAGCCCAGGGAGAACACCCGCCAAGCCCUGUAGGGCUGGACCCUACAUCUGGUGGAUCACUUGAGGUCAGGGUUCGAGACCAGCCUGGCCAACAUGGCGAAACUCCAUCUCUACUAAAAAUGCAAAAAUGAGCCGGGCAUGGUGGGGGGUGCCUGUAAUCCCAGCUACUCAGGAGGCUGAGGCAGGAGAAUCAUUUGAACUCAGGAAGCAGAGGCUGCAGUAAACUGAGAUCAUGCCACUGCACUCCAGCCUAUGUGGCAGAGUAAGACUCUAUCUCCAAAAAAAAAAAAAAAAGAGACAGGGGACAUCAUCAAUCUCUCUGCCUCUCUCUCUUCACCCCCCUCUGCCAUGUGAGGUCCAAAGUAAGAAGGCAGCCAUGCUUAAAACCAGGAAGAGGCCCUCACCAGAUUGAACCGAACCUUCCAGCACCUUGAUCUCAGACUUCCCAGUACCUUGAUCUCAGACUUCCCAGUCUCCAGAACUGUGAGAAACAAAUGUCUGUUGUUUGAGCCUCCCAGUCUACCACAUCUUCUUUAGCAGCCACAGCAGACGAAGACUCCUGCGAUCAUUGCCAUUGCCGGGCUUGUGGGAGCGUCGCUCUGACCUCUGCUUCCGUCUUCACAUGGCUAUUGUCCCUCUGGGGCAGUGUCUCUGUGUCCAAGUGUUCCUCUUCUAAGGAUGCCAGUCAUUGGAUGAGGGUGUGUGUGGGCGGCAAGCCACCCAGGUGCCGAGGCAAGAGACCGAGGGCAUGAGCUGUUCUAGUGUAAUAAAACAUAUAAAAUAAUAAGAGUUAUACUAGAUAUAGAUCAUAGAUAUGAUUAUAUGUGAAUAUCAUUAAUCAUUACUUUGUAGCAAUUACUCUUUAUUCCAAUGUUAUAAUAAUCCCCGCUCUACAAUCAUAACCUAGGAAAAACCAGGCCAUACAGAGAUAGGAGCUGAAGGGGCACAGUGAGAAGUGACCAGAAGACAAGAGUGUGAGCCCUCUGUCACGCCCGUACAGGGCCACCAGAGGGCUCCUUGGUCUAGCGGUAACGCCAGCGUCUGGGAAGACGCCUGUUGCCAAGCGGACCGUGGUCUAGCGGUAGCAUCAGUGCCAAGGAACAACACCCACUACUUAGCAGACUGGGAAAGGGAGUCUCCCUUUCCCCGGGGUAGUUUAGAGAAGACUCUGCUCCACACCUCUUGUGGAGGGCCUGACUGAUCGCCCGCAGUUAUCCGGAGGCCUAACCAUCUCCCUGUGAUGCUGUGCUUCAGCGGUCACGCUCCUGUUUCACUUUCAUGUUCCACUGUACACCUGGCUCCGCCCUCUAGAUAGCAGUAGCAAAAGUAGUGAAAGUAUUAAAGUCUUUGAUCUUUCUGAAAAGAGCAUAGAAGAAAUAAUGACGUAAGCUGUCCUCUCUCUCUGCGCCUCGGCUACCUAACAGGGAAGGGCCCCCUGUCCGGUGGACACGUGACUCACGUGACCUUAUCAAUCAUUGGAGAUGACUCACACUCUUUACCCUGCCCCUUUUGCUUUGUAUCCAAUAAAUAACAGUGCAGCCAGGCAUUCGGGGCCACUACCGGUCUCUGCGUCUUGGUGGUAGUGGUCCCCCAGGCCCAGCUGUCUUUUUUUU